AGCGACUGUGCAGGUUACCGCGGCUGCUGGCACGGAGUUAGCCGGUGCUUCUUCUGUGAGUGAUGUCCUUCCUGCCGGCUAUUAACCCGCAGGCCUUCUUCCUCACUGAAAGUGCUUUACAACCCGAAGGCCUUCUUCACACACGCGGCAUGGCUGGAUCAGGGUUGCCCCCAUUGUCCAAUAUUCCCCACUGCUGCCUCCCGUAGGAGUCUGGGCCGUGUCUCAGUCCCAGUGUGGCUGAUCAUCCUCUCAGACCAGCUACGGAUCGUCGCCUUGGUGAGCCGUUACCUCACCAACCAGCUAAUCCGACAUAGGCUCAUCCGAUAGCGCGAGGCCCGAAGGUCCCCCGCUUUCCCCCGUAGGGCGUAUGCGGUAUUAGCCUGGGUUUCCCCAGGUUAUCCCCCACUACCGGGCAGAUUCCUAUGCAUUACUCACCCGUCCGCCGCUCGCCACCAGGGAGCAAGCUCCCCGUGCUGCCGCUCGACUUGCAUGUGUUAGGCCUGCCGCCAGCGUUCAAU
rnacentral:rRNA from 1 species